rnacentral:rRNA from 1 species
GCAAGAUUAAAACUUAAAGGAAUUGACGGGGGCCCGCACAAGCGGUGGAGCAUGUGGUUUAAUUCGAUGCAACGCGAAGAACCUUACCAUCCCUUGACAUCCAGAGAAUCUGUUUGAGAAGAUAGAGUGCCUUCGGGACCUCUGAGACAGGUGCUGCAUGGCUGUCGUCAGCUCGUGUCGUGAGAUGUUGGGUUAAGUCCCGCAACGAGCGCAACCCUUAUCUUUAGUUACCAUCAUUCAGUUGGGGACUCUAAAGAGACUGCCGGUGACAAGCCGGAGGAAGGUGGGGACGACGUCAAGUCAUCAUGGCCCUUACGGGAUGGGCUACACACGUGCUACAAUGGGCAAUACAAAGGGUCGCUAAGCCGCGAGGUGGCGCCAAUCCUAUAAAGUUGCUCGUAGUCCGGAUUGAAGUCUGCAACUCGACUUCAUGAAGUUGGAAUCGCUAGUAAUCGUAGAUCAGAAUGCUACGGUGAAUACGUUCCCGGGCCUUGUACACACCGCCCGUCACACCAUGGGAGUGGGUUGCAAAAGAAGUGGGUAGACUAACCUUCGGGAGGUCGCUCACCACUUUGUGAUUCAUGACUGGGGUGAAGUCGUAACAAGGUA